rnacentral:rRNA from 1 species
AUUGAACGCUGGCGGCAGGCCUAACACAUGCAAGUCGAGCGAGCGGCGGACGGGUGAGUAAUGUAUGGGGACUGCCCGAUAGAGGGGGAUAACUACUGGAAACGGUAGCUAAUACCGCAUACUAUCGGAUAACCCAUAUGGAAUUAGCUAGUAGGGGGGGUAAUGGCUCACCUAGGCGACGAUCCCUAGCUGGUCUGAGAGGAUAAUCAGCCACACUGGGACUGAGACACGGCCCAGACUCCGACGGAGGAAGCAGGGGGGAAUAUUGCACAAGGGGCGCAAGCCUGAUGCAUCCAUGCCGCGUGUAUGAAGAAGGCCCUAGGGUUGUAAAGUACUUUCAGUCGGGAGGCGUUACCGACAGAAGAAGCACCGGCUAACUCCGUGCCAGCAGCCGCGGUAAUAC